rnacentral:misc_RNA from 1 species
UUAACUGAGCAGCUGUGUUAGGUCU